rnacentral:lncRNA from 1 species
UAUCUUACUUGUUCAUAGUAAUGAGGGUCUGACUAUAAAGCCAAAAUUGUAUUGUUCAUAGAACUCCUCGAGUGAAGGUUUUACAGUCGGGCUUUAGGAAUUAUGAAUGAACAAAAAGGUAGUGUUAAUCAUCAGCUCGUUUAUAGAAAGAUAUUGUUGGUGGCUUUCUAUAACUUCCCACAGAGCUGGAGUCCUAAUUAGUUUCAAUCACUUUUAGCUGGUACUUGCCAUUUUGUUCUCUGUGUUCAUAGGGCUAAACACCUGACGUUGAUCAAUCACUUUCGGAUUAAAUCCAGGUUGCCUCAUCGCAUGAUUCAGUUCUUCAAUCACAAGAGCACAUUGGCGGAGGACCUCGGGGCAUUGGAGAAAUCCUCCGUGAGCCCCCUUCUGACUGACCUACCUCCAUCUAUCUAUAAGGCUCACAGACUGGAGACUGAAUAUUCCUCCCAGUGGAAUAACCCUUCACCCUACUCGUCUGCCAAGCAUACACUACAGAGCGACAGCCUGGCCUCCCCUGCUAGGCACUGCAUGCAACACAGCAAGUUCAAGGUCACAGGAUCACUAUCCCAUGACAUCCCUGAACACCAGAGAUGA